rnacentral:rRNA from 1 species
UACGUAGGGUGCAAGCGUUAUCCGGAAUUAUUGGGCGUAAAGAGCUCGUAGGCGGUUUGUCGCGUCUGCUGUGAAAACUGGAGGCUCAACCUCCAGCCUGCAGUGGGUACGGGCAGACUAGAGUGCGGUAGGGGAGAUUGGAAUUCCUGGUGUAGCGGUGGAAUGCGCAGAUAUCAGGAGGAACACCGAUGGCGAAGGCAGAUCUCUGGGCCGUAACUGACGCUGAGGAGCGAAAGCAUAGGGAGCGAACAGG